UGUCUCACCAGGAUAUCCAAACACUCGAAAACAAUGUAUGAUACAUUGUUUUCUCGUGUUUGGAUAUCCCGGUGAAACA